AAGUCGUAACAAGGUCUCCGUUGGUGAACCAGCGGAGGGAUCAUUGCUGGAACGCGCCCCUGGCGCACCCAGAAACCCUUUGUGAACUUAUACCACUGUUGCCUCGGCGCAGGCCGGCCUCUUAGCUGAGGCCCCCCGGAGACGGGGAGCAGCCCGCCGGCGGCCAGCCAAACUCUUGUUUCUAUAGUGGAUCUCUGAGUAAAAAAACAUAAAUGAAUCAAAACUUUCAACAACGGAUCUCUUGGUUCUG
rnacentral:misc_RNA from 1 species